AGAGUUUGAUCCUGGCUCAGGAUGAACGCUGGCGGCGUGCCUAAUACAUGCAAGUCGAACGCUGGAAAUCUAGCUUGCUAGAUUGAAGGAGUGGCGAACGGGUGAGUAAUACAUAAGCAACCUACCCACGAAGACUGGGAUAAUCUCUGGAAACGGGGACUAAUACCGGAUAGGUAAUCGGAAGGCAUCUUCUGAUUAUUAAAGGUUAAAAACACUGGUGGAUGGGCUUAUGGCGCAUUAGUUAGUUGGUGAGGUAACGGCCCACCAAGACGAUGAUGCGUAGCCGGCCUGAGAGGGUGAACGGCCACAUUGGGACUGAGACACGGCCCAGACUCCUACGGGAGGCAGCAGUAGGGAAUUUUCGGCAAUGGGGGAAACCCUGACCGAGCAACGCCGCGUGAGUGAUGACGGCCUUCGGGUUGUAAAGCUCUGUUGUAAGGGAAGAACGGUAGAUAGAGAAUAUCUAAGUGACGGUACCUUACCAGAAAGCCACGGCUAACUACGUGCCAGCAGCCGCGGUAAUACGUAGGUGGCGAGCGUUAUCCGGAAUUAUUGGGCGUAAAGGGUGCGUAGGCGGCCUGUUAAGUAAGUGGUUAAAUUGUUGGGCUCAACCCAAUCCAGCCACUUAAACUGGCAGGCUAGAGUAUUGGAGAGGCAAGUGGAAUUCCAUGUGUAGCGGUAAAAUGCGUAGAUAUAUGGAGGAACACCAGUGGCGAAGGCGGCUUGCUAGCCAAAGACUGACGCUCAUGCACGAAAGCGUGGGGAGCAAAUAGGAUUAGAUACCCUAGUAGUCCACGCCGUAAACGAUGAAUACUAAGUAUUGGGGAAACUCAGUGCUGCAGCUAACGCAAUAAGUAUUCCGCCUGUGGAGUAUGCACGCAAGUGUGAAACAUAAAGGAAUUGACGGGGGCCCGCACAAGCGGUGGAGUAUGUGGUUUAAUUCGACGCAACGCGAAGAACCUUACCAGGUCUUGACAUUGAUGGACAGAACUAGAGAUAGUUCCUCUUCUUCGGAAGCCAGAAAACAGGUGGUGCACGGUUGUCGUCAGCUCGUGUCGUGAGAUGUUGGGUUAAGUCCCGCAACGAGCGCAACCCUU
rnacentral:rRNA from 1 species